CGUAGGUGGCAAGCGUUGUCCGGAAUUAUUGGGCGUAAAGCGCGCGCAGGUGGUUCUUUAAGUCUGAUGUGAAAGCCCCCGGGCUCAACCGGGGAGGGUCAUUGGAAACUGGGGAACUUGAGUGCAGGAGAGGAAAGUGGAAUUCCACGUGUAGCGGUGAAAUGCGUAGAUAUGUGGAGGAACACCAGUGGCGAAGGCGACUUUCUGGCCUGUAACUGACACUGAGGCGCGAAAGCGUGGGGAGCAAACAGGAUUAGAUACCCUGGUAGUCCACGCCGUAAACGAUGAGUGCUAAGUGUUGGGGGGUUUCCGCCCCUCAGUGCUGCAGCUAACGCAUUAAGCACUCCGCCUGGGGAGUACGGUCGCAAAGACUG
rnacentral:rRNA from 1 species